UACGUAGGGUGCAAGCGUUGUCCGGAAUUAUUGGGCGUAAAGAGCUCGUAGGCGGCCUGUCACGUCGACUGUGAAAACCCGAGGCUCAACCUCGGGCCUGCAGUCGAUACGGGCAGGCUAGAGUUCGGUAGGGGAGACUGGAAUUCCUGGUGUAGCGGUGAAAUGCGCAGAUAUCAGGAGGAACACCGAUGGCGAAGGCAGGUCUCUGGGCCGAUACUGACGCUGAGGAGCGAAAGCGUGGGGAGCGAACAGG
rnacentral:rRNA from 1 species